UACGGGGGGGGCAAGCGUUGUUCGGAAUUACUGGGCGUAAAGGGCCCGUAGGCGGCCAACUAAGUCAGACGUGAAAUCCCCAGGCUCAACCUGGGAACUGCGUCUGAUACUGGAUGGCUUGAAUUCGGGAGAGGGAUGCAGAAUUCCAGGUGUAGCGGUGAAAUGCGUAGAUAUCUGGAGGAAUACCGGUGGCGAAGGCGGCAUCCUGGACCGACAUUGACGCUGAGGAGCGAAAGCUAGGGGAGCAAACGGG
rnacentral:rRNA from 1 species